rnacentral:rRNA from 1 species
GAUGAACGCUGGCGGCGUGCCUAAUACAUGCAAGUCGAGCGAACGGACGAGAAGCUUGCUUCUCUGAUGUUAGCGGCGGACGGGUGAGUAACACGUGGAUAACCUACCUAUAAGACUGGGAUAACUUCGGGAAACCGGAGCUAAUACCGGAUAAUAUUUUGAACCGCAUGGUUCAAAAGUGAAAGACGGUCUUGCUGUCACUUAUAGAUGGAUCCGCGCUGCAUUAGCUAGUUGGUAGGGUAACGGCUUACCAAGGCAACGAUGCAUAGCCGACCUGAGAGGGUGAUCGGCCACACUGGAACUGAGACACGGUCCAGACUCCUACGGGAGGCAGCAGUAGGGAAUCUUCCGCAAUGGGCGAAAGCCUGACGGAGCAACGCCGCGUGAGUGAUGAAGGGCUUCGGAUCGUAAAACUCUGUUAUUAGGGAAGAACAUAUGUGUAAGUAACUGUGCACAUCUUGACGGUACCUAAUCAGAAAGCCACGGCUAACUACGUGC